AUGACGACGGACUUCAAGAACGCGACCCGGCGCUGCGCGUCGUGCCGCUCCCUCCGUUACACCUCCCGCGCACACUCAGCCGCCGUCACAACACUGCACGGCGAUGUACUAUCACCACCGCGGCCGAGACAAUGCAGGAGCCGCCCACGUGCAUUCACGAGCGCCGAGGAGGGCUCCUUCUUGAUGGCAACCGGGCGACGAUGGGGUGGCGAUAGCGGCGCCCUCUUCUUGCCGCACCAUGCCUGCCAGUCAAAGACUCAAAGCAGCCGAGCAUGCUGCACGACGAUGACAGCGGCUCCUCCUUCACCUCCUCCUUGA
rnacentral:rRNA from 1 species